CUCCUACGGGGGGCAGGCAGUGGGGAAUCGUUGCGCAAUGCGCGAAAGCGUGACGCAGCAACGCCGCGUGGGGGAAGACGGGCCUUCGGGUUGUAAACCCCUUUCAGUCGGGACGAAGCUUUGCCGGUGAAUAGCCGGUUGGAGUGACGGUACCUUCAGAAGAAGCCCCGGCUAACCUACGUGCCAGCAGCCGCGGUAAUAC
rnacentral:rRNA from 1 species